CCCAGAUAUCUGGUUAACCGCGAUUCCUGGGUAUGUCUAUGAGGGCGAUAUUGGAUAAGAUGAGCUCCUGAAUCAGUGGACUGAGUAAAGUAGCUGGCCCUCCCCGCAUGGCUGGACAUCACCCAACCUACUGAGGACCCAACAGAAUAAAGGUUAGAAGAAAGAGGAGGCACGUGUCCCUCUUUCCUCCGAGCCACUGCUUGAGCUGGGAUAUCUCAUUCAUCUUCCCCUGCCAGCAGCCUGGGAGUUACCUCCUCAGCUCUCCUGGUUCUCAAGCCUUCACAUGCUGAUUGGAUCGCACCCUGGACUUUCCCGGGUCUUCAACUUGCAGAUGGCAGACUGCAGGAAUUCUCAGUCUCCGUUAUUGCAAAAGCCAAUUCUUGAUAAUAUACCCUCUUUUCGAUCCCAUGGGUUCUGUUUCUCUGGAGAACCCAGGUGGGCUCAAGUUUCAAUCUCAUGAUGAAGCUCAAUUUCUCAGAUUUUUGACUUCUGAAGACUUCACUCUGAAGAAAAUUGGAUGUCUUCAGUUACAAUAAUUGAUUAAAAGAAAUUUCUGGGAACAGUAUACAGAUGAAAUGAUGCUAAAGAUGUAGGCAAAUUUAUGGGCAAAAGCCUCUUUAAUGUCCUCAGCCUACAUGAUUAAUAAUGUAGAACCAAAUUUAGGGGCACUCCACCCUGAAAGAAUUACAUUACCCAAUUCCUGUUAUGUUAUCCUGAAGUGUAAGCAGCAAACUCAUUAAAAAUUAAUGAGGUAAUCAGACAAAUUCUAUGACUAUGCGUGAGCUCCUCAUUAAUGUUUCACCAGACAGCAUUAAGAAAGACUAAAUAGACUGCACUGGAUUUAGAAGUAAUAAAUGGACUUCAAAAGCACAGCAGCUUAAUGACCUUCCAGUAAACACAGAGACUUGCAACAGAAAGGAUGAAGGAUUUUAGAUGCCCAUCAGCUAACUUCUUGGCUGCAACUACAAUGGAAAAAAAGUGAAAUAAAGUAUGAUCAAU